AAAAAUUCUCAAGAACCAAACACAUGAGCUUCAACCAAGAAUUCAAGAUCUCUAAAAAAUCAACCGCAGGAAUUCAAAAAUAAUUUAGGAAUCAUAGUUUCCAAGUUUAGAUCUUCAAGAAGUACCUAUUAUAUUUACGAGUAGAGUUCCGAAAUUGCAAGUUCAUCCAAAGUCACAAAUUCGAGGUAUGUGGGGUUUGAACAAGAAUAAUCCUUCCGGUCUUGUGCCCAAAACUUGAUUUUUAUAAAGAUUGCAUAAAUUUUUAUGUUGAAGUUUAUACCAAUUUAUCUCAUUUUGAGUUUAUUUAAUUAUUCAUGAAUUGAGUAUUUGAAGGUAUUAUAUUUUAUCUUGAUAUGAUUUGAGUUGAGAUAUACAUAUUUUGCUUUAUAUUUUCCUAUUAAGAAUUGAUGUUGAUGAAUUUAUUUGAAAUGAGUAUUGAGAAUGAAUUUACGAAAUUUUUGAUAUGUGUUUUGAGUUGUUGAAUUUAUGAUAUUUAUGUCAUGAAUUUAUUCUCAAUAUUUUAAUUGAGAUAAGUGAAGAUUUUCGAGAUGAUUGUUGGGUAUUAAAUUUACAUAUGAUUUUGAUGUAUUAAAUCUUUAUAUUUUGGGUUUUAAAUAUAUGUGAUGAAAUUGUAAGGAGAUUUUGAUCUCGUGUCGUGGACAUGAUUUUAUAAGUAUUUCCCAAAAGCAAAGAUUGUUGUUUUGACAUUGAACAAGUAUGGAAUUUGAGAUGAUAUUUUGGAAGAUGGAAUCGUUAUAUUUAUGUCAAGGUUGAAAUUGGAUUUUUAUGAUAUUACUAUUUGGAGUUUUCCUUUAUCAAAUUAUUUACCGAGAUUUGAAUUGAAAUUUAUAUCAUGAUUUUUGAGUUGAAAAUAGGAAUCCAGAAUUUAUUAUGAUUCAAUUAUGAGAAAUAUGAUUUGGCCUUCAUUAUAGACCCUUGAAAUUAUUUUGAGGUGGAUUUCCUAAAUGAUACAGAGCUUGAGUACGGGAAUAGUAUUUAGUACCGAGCGGGAGGUGUGGGUGAGCGUACCCUACUUCCCCAGAACUACGUGCCACCAUAAAAUUGACAUUUAUGGGCCUAUGGCCGAGCUUGUGAUCACUGAGUUAAGGUUAUACUCCCUGACAAGAGCAUGGCGCUCCUUCCCAACGUGGGGUUUCUUCCUUAGGAGGACAAAAUGUUGGACUCCAUGAUAAGCUCACAUAGUUUUUGUCGGUUAUAAGAAACUCUCAUGGUGUGUGUUUGUGUCUCCUCUAUCUAAGAUAAGUGUGUAUGGUUUGAAAACUAUGAUUUGUGAGAAAGUUCCUUGUUUCCGAAAGAUUGAAAUGUUAUGUUCUAAAGAGAGUUGUUUUAAGACUUGAUUACUUUACAAGUUGAAUUCGAGCAGAAAGUGAAUUUGAAACUUAUUGUAAUGACUCACGUGAUUUAUUUUACAUGUAUUAUUCAUCCAUGAUUUUGAUGAUUUAUUCAAGCCAAGUGAGUUAUUAUAUCAGCAUGCACAAUUUUAUAAACUAUGAUGAUAUGAAGAUAUUAUUUUAUAUAUGCAUUGCACCCCCAUAUGCUUAGUACAUUUCCAUGGUACUGAUCCACAUAUUCGUAUGUGGGCUACAUUUUCUCGAAAUAUAGGUACAAGGCAUAGUAUGCACCUUUAGAUCCAGUCAGUUUAUGGUAUCCAGUCAGCAGGUGAUGAGUCUUUCUGAUUCAAGGGCUUGGGUCAGUUAUGCAGAUCUAAUAGUGUUGUAUUUUCUUUAUUCGGUCGUAUUGGGUUUAGAUAGUCAAGAUUCAUGACUCGGCUAACUACAGUCAAUACGAGCAGAGGCUUCAUAGACAGUCAGUAGAAGUUGAUGUAUUCCAUUUCAGUUUUGGUUGUAAAGACAGAAUUAUAAUCUUGUAAAUUCAGUUUUGUAUCGAUCAGAUUCAAAAAAGAGUUAUUUUUCAUAGAUUUUUAUAGAUUUAUACUUUUUAUUCAAUUGCUUAUGAGUUAUGCCAAUAGAAGGGUUAGCUUGGUGUCACUUGGGACCCUAAGCAC
rnacentral:lncRNA from 1 species